UACGUAGGGUGCGAGCGUUAAUCGGAAUUACUGGGCGUAAAGCGUGCGCAGGCGGUUUUGUAAGCCAGAUGUGAAAUCCCCGGGCUUAACCUGGGAAUGGCAUUUGGGACUGCAAGGCUGGAGUGUGGCAGAGGAGACUGGAAUUCCUGGUGUAGCAGUGAAAUGCGUAGAUAUCAGGAGGAAUACCGAUGGCGAAGGCAGGUCUCUGGGCUGACACUGACGCUCAUGCACGAAAGCGUGGGGAGCAAAAGGG
rnacentral:rRNA from 1 species